rnacentral:rRNA from 1 species
UUUGAGGAUUCACGGGAUUGAUAGGCAUUAGCAGCGAGGAAGGACGUGUAGGAGGACGAUAUGCCUUUUUGAGGAAGUCUGAAUGAAGCGGGAGGAAGUCUGAAUGAAGCGGAAGCGCUUGGGGACCCCUUUGACUUAAGCAUACCAAUAAAGAAGGAGGAAGAAACAAAAGGGAUUGUCUGAGUAGCGGCGAGUGAAAGGACAGGAGCUCGAAUGGUAACUGCGUUUGGCGGGUUGUUUUGAGUAGGAGGAGACUGAGCUAGGGAUUGUCCCGAUCUUAGAGGGAAUGGCCUGUAAGUAUCCGGACCUUGAGAGAAGAAGAGGGUGUCUGGAGUGCCGCCUUGAUUGGGUGGUGUUCUUUUCACCGAAAGCUAAAUAUAAGCUAACUGACCGAUAGCGAAGAAGUAGAGUGAUUGAAAUGUGAAAAAGACAAGAUGAAAAAUGAAA